rnacentral:rRNA from 1 species
UACGUAGGGUGCAAGCGUUGUCCGGAAUUAUUGGGCGUAAAGAGCGCGUAGGCGGCCAGACAAGUCUGCUGUGAAAACUCGAGGCUCAACCUCGAGCUGUCGGUGGAAACUGUCUGGCUAGAGUCCGGAAGAGGAGAGUGGAAUUCCUGGUGUAGCGGUGAAAUGCGCAGAUAUCAGGAAGAACACCUAUGGCGAAGGCAGCUCUCUGGGACGGUACUGACGCUGAGACGCGAAAGCGUGGGGAGCGAACAGG